rnacentral:rRNA from 1 species
GACGAACGCUGGCGGCGUGCCUAAUACAUGCAAGUAGGACGCAGUUUCGAACGGGUGAGUGACGCGUAGGUAUCUACCUCUUUGAGGGGGAUAACUAUUGGAAACGAUAGCUAAUACCCCCUACUCGUAGAUGGACCUGCGUUGUAUUAGCUAGUAGGUUGGGUAAUGGCCUACCUAGGCAACGAUACAUAGCCGACCCGUGAGGGGGGACGGCCAAACUGGGAACGAGGAACGGGCCAGAACCCUUAGGGAGGCCGCAGUAGGGGAUCUUUGGCAAAGGGGGGAAAGCUGACCGAGCAACGCCGCGUGGGUGAAGAAGGUUUUCGGGUCGUAAAGCUCUGUUGUUAAGGGAGCGGUACUUAACCAGAAAGGGACGGCUAACUACGUGCCAGCAGCCGCGGUAAUAC